CCUCUCAUUCAAAAGGGUCCCCAUCUCCUCUCCUCUCCAUCUCGCUUCCCGAGCUCCGAUCGGCGUCCCCGAGCUCCGAUCGCCUCUCCAUCUCGCUUCCCGAGCUCCGAUCGGCGUCCCCGAGCUCCGAUCGCCUCCCAUCUCGCUUCCCGAGAUGGAAUCGGCGUCCCCGAGCUCCGAUCGGCGUCCCCGAGCUCCGAUCGCUUCCCCAUCUCACUUUCCGAGCUCCGAUCGGCGUCCCGCGCCGACAUUAAUCCAUCGCCUCCCCAUCUCGCUUCCCCGCCACCGUCGACCUCGCCCUCCGGUUCCCUUCUUCUUCUCUCGUUUCUUGCAUUUUUUGCUCUUGGCGCUUCUAGUAUUUUGUGUUGAUUUUUGGGGGUUUUUUCAGACGAUUUCCAAAGGCCAUAAGAACUACGAUCUCAUGUUAAACCUUCAAUUGGGCAUCAGAUACUCUGUUGGGAAGCCAGCUUCGAUGCAGAUGAGAGACCUCAGACCAGCAGAUUUCGACCCAAGGGAGAAGUUUUGGACGAGGUUUCCUCCCGAGGGAUCCAAGAUUACUCCACCCCACCAGUCUGUCGAGUUUCGGUGGAAGGAUUAUUGCCCCAUGGUCUUCAGACACUUGAGAAAGUUGUUUUCUGUGGAUCCGGCUGAUUAUAUGGUCGCUAUCUGUGGGGAUGACGCAUUGAGGGAACUGUCUUCGCCUGGGAAGAGUGGGAGUUUCUUCUACCUGACCCAGGAUGACAGGUUCAUGAUCAAGACAGUGAAAAAAUCUGAAGUAAAGAUCUGAUAAAUGAAGAUCACCUGGAACACCUGGAAGAUUCACAUACGCUGAUGAAAGAUCAAAACAAACUAUUCCAGAAGCCGUUCCUGAUGGUGCAGUUGUGCUUGGUACUCCUGUUGCCAUGCUGCAGGGACCAAGCUAUCCAUCAUCACUUGGCACUUGACAAAAGUUGUUGACAUCAAACAUAAACAAGAAUACCGAUCGCUGCUACAAUGAAACAGUGAACAGAAAGGAAAGAGAGAGGACAAUCCAUUGCACCAGAAGAAAACCAAUCGAAAGAAAGGAAGGUGGAGAAGGAAUCAAUCCAGCAAGAGAUAAUUAAGAAUCCUCCAUGCUGUUGCUAACUGCACCGACAGGAAGUAGAUCAGCAGGAGCAGGAGGUGGAGGAGGAGGAGACCAAAUGGAGGCUGAGGUGAGCCUCUGAGACCAAAUGGAAUCAAUCCAGCAAGAGAUAAUUAAGAAUCCUCCAGCUUGUUAGGCCCGUCCUCCUCCACCCGGUACCCGUCAUUGAAGAGCCCCAGCAGCAGCCUGGCCUGGAAGUGGUUGAAACAACUGAUACCAACUCUUCCGAAUCCCCUCCCAGUCAUUGAAAUGCCAUGCUGCAGGGACCAAGGUAGUCUAUCAGUGAGGAUAUGAAUGUCUUAUGACUGCUCUGGUUUUGUUUUAGCUUAUUGUUGGUUGAAGCCUCGGCAGCAGAGGCUGAGGCAAUUAGUUUUUUUUUAAAAAACAGGUGGCUAACGCCGACGCUUAUAAGCGUCGGCUUUGAGUCUUUUAGCGACGCUUUUAAACGUCGCUAAAACGCGUCGUUCAAAACUGAGCUUUUAGCGACGCUUAUAAGCGUCGGCUUUGAGUCUUUUAGCGACGCUUUGAUUAGCGUCGGGAAAGUCUUGUUUUUGCCGACGCUUUCUCUUAGCGUCGGCAAAAAUCGGACCCACGCCCACCUGCCCGACGUCUGAUCCACGCUUUGGGGAGCGUUGGCUGGAAUUUUGCCGACGCUUAAAAGCGUCGGUAGAGACCAAUAAAAGCGCCGGUAAAAGUCACUAUUCCUGUAGUGCAGCAGGAUGCAUAUAAAUGUUUGUAGAAAUAAAUGUAUAUAUGUGUGCAAAAUUGCUAUAGGUGCAUGCAAACAACAUGUGAGGGCCCAGUCGAUUGACCGGCUUGCACUUGCCUUAGGCCUGAGAGCCGACCCUAAGAGGUCAGGCCCAAGGCCAGUGUGCCCUGUGGCGAUGCAGGAAGUCCUCCUCCGCUUCCGGCAGAAAUCGGGCACUCUCAAAACAACCCGAGUUCUUCUAGAACUCGAAGGCUUCGCAUAUUUAACUUUCCUCCUCCUUAGAUUUCCUUCAUCGGAAUCAUCAAGAAUAUCCGCCGAUUCCAAGCCCUCUUUCCAAGCUUGUUUCCUCAAUUCCUCACUAAAAAGGGUUGUCGGAGGCUUCGCCGAACCAAAGUAAAUGUUCCUCGUCUUGCUCCUCUUCCUUUCCUAGUGAUUUAGCAAACUUUGCUUGAGUUUUAGCCGGCAAAUAACCGAAAUUGGAUCCAAAACAGGAUGCCCUAUUUCGGCUCCCUUCUUUCGAUCAUGUCGCCGCUGCUGGCCGCCCUCCGCCUCAUGUCUCCAUCUCCGGCCGCCACCUCACUGGACCACCAAGUCCACAACCACCAGCCACCUCCUUCUUCCUCUGUUU